rnacentral:rRNA from 1 species
GUAGGUGGCAAGCGUUGUCCGGAAUUAUUGGGCGUAAAGCGCGCGCAGGUGGGUUCUUUAAGUCUGAUGUGAAAGCCCCCGGGCUCAACCGGGGAGGGUCAUUGGAAACUGGGGAACUUGAGUGCAGGAGAGGAAAGUGGAAUUCCACGUGUAGCGGUGAAAUGCGUAGAUAUGUGGAGGAACACCAGUGGCGAAGGCGACUUUCUGGCCUGUAACUGACACUGAGGCGCGAAAGCGUGGGGAGCAAACAGGGUUAGAUACCCUGGUAGUCCACGCCGUAAACGAUGAGUGCUAAGUGUUGGGGGGUUUCCGCCCCUCAGUGCUGCAGCUAACGCAUUAAGCACUCCGCCUGGGGAGUACGGUCGCAAAGACUG